AUACAGACCAAACCUUAAAACGAAGUCAAACAUCGUACUCUGGUUCACUUCUUUAUGUGAACAGCACGACUCAGCGGUGCUCAGCGCACAGUGGUGCUCAGCACACAGUCCGUCCCAGCAGAUGGAAGCCUCGGAACACUGGCAAUUCAGCACAAUGACAUCAGCAUGGCUAUUCUCCAGAACCAAACUGUCUGGCUCCAGAGCCAAAAUAGCCAGAUGGUCCUGCCUUGAUUUAUCAACCAGGAAAUAGCCAAUGAUUGUGAAACCUCCCUGGACUUCUGAUAUUCUUAGAAAAAACAGGGGCAUGAGGCAACGGAAAGACAGACCAGAAGUUCUUUUAAAUGGCAUUGGUAAGGUUUUGGUAUAUUUUUCCAUUAUGUCUUCCUAUGAACAUAAAAUUUUUAUCCACGAUAUUGUUGUGAAAGUCCCAACCACAGUGGGCGUUCUAGCAAGUGGCUCCUUUCAUUUUUCCCAAUCAACAUUGAUAGUUGUGCUACCCAGCAAAGAGAUAAACAUGCAAAAGGCACCAUCUUCCCUGAUCUCAUGACACACGGUGACGUUGCAUAGCUGGGCUAUGACAACUGGCUCUGAAGUCACAUAACCAGGACACAACUUCCAUUCUGGCUUCACUAGCUAUGUGACAGUGAAUCCAGAUCUGUACCUUCUCAUAUUCUUGUACCAUGAAGUAUGAGAAAUGGCAGUAACCUUUAUAAUUUGAAGGUAUUGGGUGGCUAGAUGAGAUCAUACAAAUACCCAGUAGAAGAUGUGGUAAGCAAACGCUGACACCAUUGCAUACGCCAGUAAGAUUUUGCUGAAAGGACCCUCAUAUAGCUGUCUCUUGUGAGGCUACGCCGGUGCCUGGCAAACACAGAAAUGGAUGCUCACAGUCAGCUAUUGGAUGGAACACAGGGCCCCCA
rnacentral:lncRNA from 1 species